GAAUAAUAUCUUCUUCUCAGUGAAGUUCCUCUUUGCUCCCAUCAAGUAUUCACUUGAAAUUUGGUUAGGUUUACUCCUUCUAAUUCCAAGUUUUGCUCCCCUGAGAAUUUAGAACUGACUUCUCCUAAAGGCACCGUAUCAUAUUUCCAGUUUUAAAAAUCGAAGCCUAAAGUAAUACACUUCUAAAAGUACACUCACCCUGAUGAAGUCCUUAGGUACGGAAACAAUGAGAUAUUUUAUAGAGAUAUUCAGUAAGUAAACGGUGGAAUUUCCACUGUCUCUGGUGCAUGGGCACAGGGGCCGUGAAAGCAAGAAGAGGAUCAGGACAGCCCACAUCGGCACAGAAAUAGCCCAUUCUCUGCUGGAACAGAGAGCAAGAUCCUUUUGGCUAUCUGGGGUCUCUUGCAUUUCCAUAUGAAUUUCAUGAUCAUCUUGUCCAUUUCUGCAAAGACAACAUUGGAAUUUUGAAAAGGAUUGAAUGGAAUCUGUGGAUCAAUUUGGGGAAUAUUGCCAUCUUAACAAUAUCCAGUCUUCGAAUCCGUGAAAAGAGAAGACUUUCCACUUAUUUAGGUCUCCUUUAAUAUCUUUCCAUAAUAUUUUGCAGUCUUGAAUGCACAAGUCUUGCCCUUCCUUGAUUAAAUUUCUUCCUAAGUAUUUCAUUUGUUUUGCUGCUGAUGUAAAUGGAAUUGUUUUUCUAACUUCAUUUUUGGAUUGUUCAUUGUUAGUGUACAGAAAUACCAUUGACAAUUGCAUAUUGAUCUUGUAGCCUACAACUUUUCUGAACUCGUUUAUUAGCUCUUAUUUAUUUUUUUAUUUACAUCUGCUUGUAAUUGUUUUUGACAAAUGCUCCCAGAUAGUGGUUUUAGCUCUGGGGGAAUUCCAAGUCAGGCAACACAGGGGCAAGCCUUUUGAGUUGGUCUUCCAGGGAUCCACCAGACCAAUCAAAACAAAUAAUUACAAUUCCUUGUGAAUGAAGUCUGUUCUGUUCCCUCUGGACUGGCACCAGCAAAACAGGAUGGGGUCUGCUAGGCUAUCACUGAGCUGGGGCACAAUGGAAGGGAUUUGGGUAAGUUAAAAAGCCACAAAACUUGCUUUUUUGAAUCUCCGUAAGAAAAUUACGGAGAUUCAACUGUUUUUCUUCAAUAAGUGUUCCCCUG
rnacentral:lncRNA from 1 species